CCUACGGGUGGCUGCAGUGGGGAAUAUUGGGCAAUGGACGCAAGUCUGACCCAGCAACGCCGCGUGAAGGAAGACGGCCUUCGGGUUGUAAACUUCUUUUAAGGGGGAAGAGCAGAAGACGGUACCUCUUGAAUAAGCCAUGGCUAACUACGUGCCAGCAGCCGCGGUAAUACGUAGGUGGCAAGCGUUGUCCGGAUUUACUGGGUGUAAAGGGCGUGCAGCCGGGGAGACAAGUCAUAUGUGAAAUCUACGGGCUCAACCCGUGAACUGCAUUUGACACUGGUUGCCUUGAGUGUCGGAGAGGUAAGCGGAAUUCCUGGUGUAGCUGUGAAAUGCGUAGAUAUCAGGAAGAACACCAGUGGCGAAGGCAGAUUACUGGACGAUAACUGACGGUGAGGCGCGAAAGCGUGGGGAGCAAACAGGAUUAGAUACCCGAGUAGUC
rnacentral:rRNA from 1 species